GAAGGUUGAAUGGCAUUCUGGGAAAUGUAGUUCACCGACGCAUAAAGUGUUGUUGAGGGCGUGGUGUGAGCCAGGUUCUAGGGGCGGCCGGGGCUUCCGGUAAAGGGGCCGGCUUCUACUGCUGCUCCGACAACGUUCCAGCUGCUCCGCUCGCAGCUCCAGCCAGCUUAGUGACCUGUUAAGAAGAUGGCACCACGAUUGUAAUGCAAUGAAUGGAUGUGGGAGAAAUGAGACAGACAAUAGGUCAUUUGGCUGUAGUAUUGCCAACCUACGGUUCUCCAGGACUGGUUCAACUGGAAGGCCAAUUAUUCUAAUCCUUUCUCAUGGCUCUGUGUGAUGAUCCCCAAAGCUGUCCAUUUGGCCAACAAGGAAAAUCUACCUAUACAACAGACAUCCUUUAGUAUCAAACCGAUACUGACACCACUUAUAGGAACCUGACUGGGCUGCCCUUUAUGUGAGUAUAUGCCAGAAGAAAUACUAAAAACAAGUCUUCAGGGAGAACAUACUUCUUUGGGCUUCAAAUCAAGUUAACUGAAGGCGCAACAUCUGAGAGCAAUAGCAGACAAGAUACAUCCAAAGAUAGCUGAAUGAACUAACCAGUUGAAUUGGAUGCUGACCGUGUUGGCCAAAGUGAAGACUUUAGGUUGACGCCACUGAGUUGGCAGUUUUUCCCUUUACUCAUUGGCUCAAAGUUUCAGCUCCAAUUUGAGAUCGCUUUUAGAUUGGGAUUGUGAAUUUUCACUACGUUUUAAAAUGUAGUCAAUCGGCAGCACAAGAUGCAAGCUUCACCCCUGAGUGACACACAUCCCUAAUCUACUAGAGGUAGAUCAAUGCCAAGGGGCAGCCAUGGUUCAUCUUCUGGACUGCCAUCUUACUUGAAGUUUUGAAGAAAUAAUGAUUCCUUUUAGCUUCCGUCCCACACAGACAUAUUGUGAAAAUGCAAAAGUAUACAUGAACUUAAAGAUAAAAUGAGAAAAGAAAGGGAGCCCCUUUGGUGCAUAUUUCUGACAUCCCAUAGGGUCUGUGUUUAUUCUUCCCUGCCACUGGAGAGAGAAAGUUUGAGAAGGAAGAGCACAUGCUGUGACAUCAGCCUGGGAUUCAAACUCAUCUCAACCUCUCAUUGACAGUGUCACUUGGGGGAAUUUGCCUAAACUCUCUGAGAUUUACUCAUAUUUAAAAGGAGGAAACCAAUAUUUACCUGAAAUGUUGCCAUAAAUUAAAAAGAGUGUGGUGGCAAAAACCUUCCUCUCCAUGCCUGGCUAGAUGGUACCCUCUCUUCAUUGUUCCUAUCACCUAAAAUUCUGUCAUAAUCACUUAGAUAUAAGUUUAAAAAAGGAGGAGGAAUAGGAGAUAUGCACUCAGGUUUGCUGCUCAAGAGCUAACUUUUCCUCUAGUUCUUUCACAAUGAUGCUGUCAUAAAGGCUGGGAAGAAGUCUACACUGAUAACGCAGAGUACAUCUCAUAUGUGGCUCCUGUCUAAUGUAUCAGGCCCAGAAAGUGCCUUAGAUUGCUUCUAUUUUCUCAACUGGGUGAAGCUGAGUAAAAAUUGUUAAAUAAAAGUGCUAUCCCAAAGUGCUAGCUUGAAUAACUCUACAAAGAGUAGGGCAGGAGGGUGCAUGAGAGGCCCAGUCAGGGGCUCCCAGGCAUUGUGGUGGAGUAAAGCAGUAAGGGACAAAUAGGAUGACUGCAGAAGAAUCUCUGGAAAUACGUGGAGACAGUUGGGGCCAGGGACUUCGUUGCUAUUCUGUCAUCUGUGUCUAUCUGGUAUCUGAGGGUAACUGUAGUGUGGAAGUGAAAUGGGACAAAAUGGUGGUGACAGGGAAGUGAUCUCAAGAGCAGUGAUAAUGGAAACUUCUUCCACUCAGGUGCUUCAUAGAUAAGGGCUCUUUGCAAGCUGGGAGUUUGUAAUGUGGGGACUACUUAAAGAGCAGUUUGUUCGAUGAUAUUUACAUUAUUUGCAAUUAAUUUAAAUGAUUUGUGCAAAUAUGAAAUUCUUCUAUUAAUGAUUUUGUCCUGAGUGCUAAGCAAACCAAGAACACCAAAACAAGGCAAUACUCUAAAAUUAUCAUUAACCUGUUCUUCAUUCUUUCAGCAAUACUUAACAUGUCCCAGGCACUGGGAAUAUAAAAUGAAAAGCCCAGUGUCUGCCCCCGGGAAUAUGUAUUCUGCCUAAGACAGUAUAAGACAUAGUCAUUCACUUUUUAAAAGUAUAUAUGAAUAUGCAAUGUUUGUCUUUCUGUGCCUGGCUUAUUUCACUUAACAUAAUGAGGACAUAGAGAGUUGAAGGAUGGUGAGCAAAGGCUAGGAAGGGUAGUGGAGGGCUGGGGGAGAAGAGGGCAUCAGUAAUGGGUACAAAAAAGUAGACAGCAGGAAUGAAUAAGACAUACUAUUUGAUCUCACAACAUGGUGACUAUAGUUAAUAAUGAUUGUACAUUUUAAAAUAAAAGAGUAUAAUUUGGAUUGUUUGUAACA